UACGUAGGGUGCAAGCGUUGUCCGGAAUUAUUGGGCGUAAAGAGCUCGUAGGCGGCUUGUCGCGUCUGCUGUGAAAUCCCGGGGCUCAACCCCGGGCCUGCAGUGGGUACGGGCAGGCUAGAGUGCGGUAGGGGAGAUUGGAAUUCCUGGUGUAGCGGUGGAAUGCGCAGAUAUCAGGAGGAACACCGAUGGCGAAGGCAGAUCUCUGGGCCGCUACUGACGCUGAGGAGCGAAAGCAUGGGGAGCGAAC
rnacentral:rRNA from 1 species